GGUCCAAUAGUGUAGAGGUUAUCACACAGGAUUCUGAAACGGAUUUCCUGUGACCCAGGUUCGAGUCCUGGUUGGACCU